rnacentral:lncRNA from 1 species
CUUGAGACAAGGUUUACAGGAGAUACCCCCACCCCCAUCGCCCCCUGAACAGAUAGUGUUUCUCCAUCACUCAGGGUCAGGCUGGAGCUCAAGGAAGAAUUGCAAGGGCCAUCCAGGCUAACAGGUUUCAACCCACGUUGUCCAUUCACACCCCCCUGGAUGCACAUACUGAUGACCAGGCCUGCCCACUGAAGCUGACCCUGCAGUGGGAGGUGUAGCCCUCUGGACAAGCUGCCUCGGUGGCUUCCUUAAAAUGGGGAUGGAGGCACUUUUGCCUCAUAUCCUGCUCCUGUAUUGGCCAUGAGUACAGAAGUACAAAGCCGGCUUGCACAUGGCCACGUCACUCACCGUCGCUGGUAUCUGCACACACCAGAGUCCUGUGCUCCUUGGUUUGUUCUCUGUCACUACACUACACUACACUAGGACUCCAUACUGUGCUAUGCUCGCCUUAUCUGAGUAAGAGUCUCCAGGCAUCGACAGGGACCUGAAGCCCCUGGGAAGGGGCUCUCUCAUUUGUGACCAGUAUGUCAGUUUGUAAAACUCCAACCCCAUGUUCAGAGGGUAGGAUGGCCUCCUAGUGAAGAAACCAGCCCAAAAAAACACUGGCUGCCACAUCUAUGUGGCUAGAUGUGGGGUCCAGGGAGCUUCUCAUCCCAUUUCUGCACAACACCAUCCCCUUAAAAAGGCUAUCUCCACUGUAAGGGAACCAGACCUCACAUUCAGGAACAGGUCACAGGCGGCUAUGAACAAAUUUAUUUUUUGUUUUGUUUUUUUACAUCUAGAAUAAAUUAUUUAAAUUAUUUCAUAGCAAGGGAGAGGGAUAGGUAAUUUUUAUCAGAUAUUUUUUUAAGUCAUCUUUUUUUUUUUUUUUUAAGAUUUGUGUUUUUAGUUCUUGAGCUAAUGGAGCAACACUGCCCACUAAGGCAGUGUCCACCCAAGCAGCAAAGAGGCCCUCAUCCCCUUCCUUCAUGCCUUGGGAGCUCCCUUUCUGUUGACUCAGGAACUUCGUGUGGAUGAGGAGAGUGCUUGGAGAUGAGCUUGUACCCCCUUAACCCUAGAAUAGUCCUGCUUCCUGGAACAAAACUUGAGGUCGUGUCCCAGAGGGAAACAGGAAGCGAGAAACGGACCUGCCUACGCUUUUCAUCUGAAACCGUGCCUGAAGCUGUUUGAGUGAUUGUUUUAAUGUUUCUUAAAUUCCUUGUACCUUUGUAAAAAAAAAAAUAAUUAAGAAAUAAAAGUUAAAAUAGAUACAGAAUCGUGCAAUGUGCAAUGGGAGAAUAUGACAAUCAUCCGUGGGUGGUAAUUCCCACCUUUAAUCCCAGCGCUUGGAAGGCUGAGGCAGGGGGAUUGAGAAUUUCAGACCAGCCUGGGCAAAGAGUCUGAGACCCUGCCUCAACCAAAAUAAUAAUAAAACACCAGACUCGAUAUUGC